AUUCCGUAUUGGUUCACUGUCGUCGACAGUGCCUCCCGGAGCCAGGGUUUAAGGCUCCAGCGCAUUGCGCUAACCCACCCAAGAUCGCAUAGCACUCGGCGGCGCGAUCACAUCACCUGGUGAUGGAGUGC
rfam:Pseudomonas putida CSV86 contig00101, whole genome shotgun sequence.